rnacentral:rRNA from 1 species
ACGUACGCUGGCGGCACGCCUAACACAUGCAAGUCGAACGAAGUAGCAAUACUUAGUGGCAGACGGGUGAGUAACAUGUAGGUAUCUGCCCUUUGGCCUGGAAUAACACGAGGAAACUUGUGCUAAUACCGGAUAAGUCUUUACGGAGAAAGCUUUAUGCACCAUUGGAUGAGCCUGCACUUGAUUAGUUUGUUGGUGGGGUAAUGGCCUACCAAGACUGUGAUCAAUAGCUGAUUUGAGAGGAUGAUCAGCCACAUUGGGACUGAGACACGGCCCAAACUCCUACGGGAGGCAGCAGUGGGGAAUCUUGCACAAUGGAGGAAACUCUGAUGCAGCGAUGCCGCGUAAGUGAAGAAGGCCCUUGGGUUGUAAAGCUCUUUCGUCGGGGAAGAAAAUGACUGUACCCGAAUAAGAAGGUCCGGCUAACUUCGUGCCAGCAGCCGCGGUAAUACGAAGGGACCUAGCGUAGUUCGGAAUUACUGGGCUUAAAGAGUUCGUAGGUGGUUGAAAAAGUUAGUGGUGAAAUCCCAGAGCUUAACUCUGGAACUGCCAUUAAAACUUUUCAGCUAGAGUAUGAUAGAGGAAAGCAGAAUUUCUAGUGUAGAGGUGAAAUUCGUAGAUAUUAGAAAGAAUACCAAUUGCGAAGGCAGCUUUCUGGAUCAUUACUGACACUGAGGAACGAAAGCAUGGGUAGCGAAGAGGAUUAGAUACCCUCGUAGUCCAUGCCGUAAACGAUGUGUGUUAGACGUUGGAAAUUUAUUUUCAGUGUCGCGGGGAAACCGAUAAACACACCGCCUGGGGAGUACGACCGCAAGGUUAAAACUCAAAUGAAUUGACGGGGACCCGCACAAGUAGUGGAGCAUGUGGUUUAAUUCGAAGAUACGCGCAGAACCUUACCAACACUUGACAUGUUCGUCGCGACUCUAAGAGAUUAGAGUUUUCGGUUCGGCCGGACGAAACACAGGUGCUGCAUGGCUGUCGUCAGCUCGUGUCGUGAGAUGUUGGGUUAAGUCCCGCAACGAGCGCAACCCUCACUUUUAGUUGCCAUCAUUAAGUUGGGCACUCUGAAAGAACUGCCAGUGAUAAGCUGGAGGAAGGUGGGGAUGACGUCAAGUCCUCAUGGCCCUUACGUGUUGGGCUACACACGUGCUACAAUGGUACUUACAACAGGAAGCAAGACUGCGAAGUUAAGCAAAUCCCUAAAAGAUACCUCAGUUCGGAUUGCACUCUGCAACUCGAGUGCAUGAAGCUGGAAUUACUAGUAAUCGUGGAUCAGCGUGCCACGGUGAAUGCGUUCCCGGGUCUUGUACACACCGCCCG